rnacentral:rRNA from 1 species
AUUGAACGCUGGCGGCAGGCCUAACACAUGCAAGUCGAGCGGAGAGGCGGACGGGUGAGUAAUGCCUAGGAAUUUGCCUGGUAGUGGGGGAUAACGUCCGGACACGGGCGCUUUUACCGCAUAAUCUCAGGUGACCCUCGGUGGGAUGAGCUAGAUGGUGGGGUAAUGGCCGACCAAGGCGACGAACCGUAUCUGGCCUGAGAGGAUGAUCAGUCACACUGGGACUGAGACACGGCCCAGAAUCCUACGGGAGGCAGCAGUGGGGAAUUUUGGACAAUGGGGGAAACCCUGAUCCAGCCACGCCGAGUGAAUGAAGAAGGCCUUCGGGUUGUAAAGUACUUUUGGUAGAGAAGCGGUAUCUGCAGAAUAAGCACCGGCUAACUACGUGCCAGCAGCCGCGGUAAUAC